GAAAUGCGAUACGUAGUGUGAAUUGCAGAAUUCAGUGAAUCAUCGAAUCUUUGAACGCACAUUGCGCCCUUUGGUAUUCCAAAGGGCAUGCCUGUUCGAGCGUCAUUUGUACCCUCAAGCUUUGCUUGGUGUUGGGCGUUGUUUGUCUUUGGCCUUGCCCAAAGACUCGCCUUAAAACAAUUGGCAGCCGGCCUACUGGUUUCGCAGCGCAGCACAUUUUUGCGCUUGCAAUCAGCAAAAGAGGUUGGCCAUCCAUCAAGACUACAUUUAUACGUUUGACCUCGGAUCAGGUAGGGAUACCCGCUGAACUUAA
rnacentral:rRNA from 1 species